rnacentral:rRNA from 1 species
UACGUAGGGUGCAAGCGUUGUCCGGAAUUAUUGGGCGUAAAGAGCUCGUAGGCGGUUUGUCGCGUCUGCUGUGAAAACUCAGGGCUUAACUCUGAGCUUGCAGUGGGUACGGGCAGACUAGAGUGCGGUAGGGGAGACUGGAAUUCCUGGUGUAGCGGUGAAAUGCGCAGAUAUCAGGAGGAACACCGGUGGGCGAAGGCGGGUCUCCUGGGCCGUAAC